rnacentral:lncRNA from 1 species
CACAUUUAAAUGCGGCUUGCUCUCCUGUGUCUGCGGUCAGAGCCCACUGGAUUUAGGAAACUAGAUAAUUUGUUGUGCUACCGAUCAGAGCAGGAACUGAGAAGGCAAGACUGGCAUCCGCCAGGGCUGCUUAGCACAGUGGUUGCCAGGGUUUAUGUUUUGGUUAUUGUUGUUGAAUGAUCCUUAUUUGUAAUCUCUUUUUCUGCUUGAGAUCCCCUUUUAUUUUUCAGAAUUGUGGCUUGCAUUGUAAGAGGAGCCUGUGAAUUCAGAGGCAAGUCUGCUGAGGACCGAAUGUUCCUGUCCAUAAAAACAGAAGUCUGGCCUGGGCUCCUCUCUUGGGUGAAUUUGCAAUGCCAGAUCCUCUCUAUCAGUUUGGUUUUGUUUCUUGUAUCUCUGGGAAGGCAGGCAGACAGCACGGUCACCUGUGAAUGCAGCUACAAUUGGCUUAGCUGCCUCACUGAUAAAUGUGCCCCCAGUAAGCUACAAAGGGAUUACCAGCGUUCUCAGCAGCUAAAGAAAAGGUCCAGACGCCUGAGCCUGGAAAGAAGCCUGGCCCACGUUCUAUCCAUUUACCCUGUGGCCUUACAGAGACAGAACCUUUGCAGAGCCUGCACUGUGCUUUUACUGUUCCCUUUCGUGGUUGGCUGAAUAUUGGCCUUCCAAAGAUGUCUACAUCUUAAUCCCCAGAACCUAGGGAACCUGUGAAUACAUCACCUAACAUAGGAAAAGGAACUUUGAGGAUGUGGUUAAGGAUCCUGAGAUGGAACUGGUGAAGAUUUCCCCAGCAAAAAGUAGAAGCUCAGUGUUUCAUAGAUGAAGACUGGGGAGAUUGCAAAAGACCCAUCCAGAGUCUCACUUUGUCGCCCAGGCUGGAGUACAGUGGUGCGAUCUUGGCUCUCUGCAACCUCUGCCUCCCAGGUUCAAGUAAUUCUCCUGCCUCAGCCUCCCGAGUAGCUGGUACUACAGGCACACAUUUGUAGAGAUGGUGUUUCCCCAUGUCAUCCAGGCUGGUCUGGAACUCCUGGGAUCAAGUAAUCCACCCGCCUCGGCCUCCCAAAGUGCUGGGAUUACAGACGUGAGCCACCACGCCCUGCCAAUAAAAAGAUUAUCUCCAGAUGCUGACUAAGGUACAGAGAGGUCAAGUAACUUGCCCAAAGUCACACAACUAUCAAGGAGCAGAGCUGAGGUUUGAUGUCACAGAGGGGUCAAGAUACAGUCAUAUUUAUUAAACAGCCUACUUCAUGCUUUGAACAGAAGAGUUUUAUCAGUUUUAAAUGUUUCUUCAUUUCUAUACCUUCUUUUAUCUGAGGAGCUUAAGCCAUUUUGUAGAGGCAUUAAGUAUUGCCUCAGUCUUAAUAUGUGAGACAAGGUGUGAGGAAUAUAGAGAUUCAUAAAAUAAUCCCCAUCUUCAAGGAACUCACAGUCAGGAAGAACAGAGCCUGCAACACAAAUAAUUGCAAUAUAGUAGAAGUGCCAAUAGGAGCUCUAUGAAGGGCGUGAAACAGGAAAGGCUACAUAGAGGAGAUGGCAGACACUCUGUGGAUUGUGACCUGUUGGUGGGCCAUGAAAUCAAUUUGGGGGUUUGAGAGCAUCAUUCUUUUAAUAAAACAGAAGAGAAUCAUCUGCAAUAAGGAACCCAUGGAUGAAUACCAUCUGGUCCUGGUGAUUUACUGCACAGAGUCCCUCAAGUUGCUCCAUACCUUUCUCCUGAGAGACUGAAGAAUCUCUGUCAAGGCCGUUCUCUGCUUUGCCAUAAAAUGUGUCCUUGGAACAAGAAUUUCCCCAUUGUCUUCUUCAAUAAAUACUGAUUCAAAGUAUUCAUUUAGCUGUUCC